AAUACGAACCAAGGUACGUGGUGUUCCUGCUCCAGCACACAGACCGCAGUGUGCAGGCAACCUGUUCCCUAAGCUUGGCCUCUGCUCACACUCAGGCAGGAUAUCUCACUGCAAAUUUAGAUCCCUGACCUCGGGGAAAGUAACUGGGUUUGCCAGAAGUUGCCUUGUGUUAUUUCUGGUAAAAAUGAUGUACCAAUGCCGUAUUCUCGAGCUCCAUUAUGAGUGCACCGAGGGAAGAGGACCGGAGGGGACCAGCUCGGCCGGCCCAGGACUGCCAGACUCCACGGGAAGGUGGUCUAAGCAGUCCCUGAGGAGCUGUGCUGCGAUCCGUUCUAAGUACCUGCUGAUGCCGUUGAAGCGUUCGAGGCUUACGUACUGAUUCCAGGCCUUCAUCUGUGGAGCCAAAGAGUAUAAGCUGGGCAGCAGGAGCUCAGGACACCACCCCACAGCCUCGGGAAGCUGCUGUCUCCCACAAGGACCACCCCUCUUGCGGGUGCGCCUUAUUCUCUGUGCAAGUUGCAGCUGUACAGGAGAAAAGAUGCUAGUGUGCGCUGGCCCAGGGUUGCUUUCCGAGGCACCGAGGUGCACACAGCCUUUGCUUUCCACCACAGUGAUGCUCUGAGGCUGGAGGCUGAUGGGCAGGGUACUGGCACCUUCGGGUCUCAGGCAGGAUUGCUGGGCACGUGGUUACUCCUCGCCUUUAUACUAUUGGAUGGUCCUUGUGUACCUGACUUCAAGUGGAGCAUAAUUGCGAACCUGCAUUGACUCCAGGGCAGUUUAAUGGUGUGAACCACACUUUUCAAAGCCACCAGGUCCGGCGUGGGGAUUUCUCCAUUUGUGAAGACAAGGACAAGGCCACGGAGGGGUAGGGCACCCCAGGCUGGGCCCCGUGUCCCUGCAACCAUCGCCCUGGGCCCCCUUCUCUCUGCUGACCUACUGGCUCCUCCUGACCUGUGACACCCACCGAUUGUUAUCUAACCAAGUCAGCUGAAAUUAAAAAGGUGUAUUUGUAUUUACUUUAACACCCUUUGGCUGGGGUGUUUGCAGAGGUGACCUUUCAGUAUUGGAUUCUGCUGCCAAGAGCACACUGCCAGCCAGAUUGCUGGGCUAAUAAAUAAUGAAGACCCUCUGAGGAGGGAGUUGGC
rnacentral:lncRNA from 1 species